rfam:Gammaproteobacteria bacterium RIFCSPHIGHO2_12_FTLL_37_14 rifcsphigho2_12_scaffold_218, whole genome shotgun sequence.
CGGGGCGUGGCGCAGCUUGGUAGCGCACUUGCAUGGGGCGCAAGUGGUCGCCGGUUCAAAUCCGGCCGUCCCGA